GUGGUUUGUCGCGUUGUUCGUGAAAUCUCACGGCUUAACUGUGAGCGUGCGGGCGAUACGGGCAGACUUGAGUACUGCAGGGGAGACUGGAAUUCCUGGUGUAGCGGUGGAAUGCGCAGAUAUCAGGAGGAACACCGGUGGCGAAGGCGGGUCUCUGGGCAGUAACUGACGCUGAGGAGCGAAAGCGUGGGGAGCGAACAGGAUUAGAUACCCUGGAUAGUCCACGCCGUAAACGGUGGGUACUAGGUGUGGGUUUCCUUCCUUGGGAUCCGUGCCGUAGCUAACGCAUUAAGUACCCCGCCUGGGGAGUACGCCCGCAAGGCUAAAACUCAAAGAAAUUGACGGGGGCCCGCACAAGCGGCGGAGCAUGUGGAUUAAUUCGAUGCAACGCGAAGAACCUUACCUGGGUUUGACAUGCACAGUACGCCGGCAGAGAUGUCGGUUCCCUUGUGGCCUGUGUGCAGGUGGUGCAUGGCUGUCGUCAGCUCGUGUCGUGAGAUGUUGGGUUAAGUCCCGCAACGAGCGCAACCCUUGUCUCAUGUUGCCAGCGGGUAAUGCCGGGGACUCGUGAGAGACUGCCGGGGUCAACUCGGAGGAAGGUGGGGAUGACGUCAAGUCAUCAUGCCCCUUAUGUCCAGGGCUUCACACAUGCUACAAUGGCCGGUACAAAGGGCUGCGAUGCCGCGAGGUUAAGCGAAUCCUUUUAAAGCCGGUCUCAGUUCGGAUCGGGGUCUGCAACUCGACCCCGUGAGUCGGAGUCGCUAGUAAUCGCAGAUCAG
rnacentral:rRNA from 1 species